rnacentral:tRNA from 3 species
AUCCGUUGGUUUCACAUGACCGUGAGGGUUCGAUUCCCUCUAUCCC